rnacentral:misc_RNA from 1 species
GAUGAAGAACGUAGCGAAAUGCGAUAAGUAGUGUGAAUUGCAGAAGUACCGUGAAUCAUCGAAUCUUUGAACGCAAAUUGCACUCUCUGGUAUUCCGGGGAGUAUGCCUGUUUGAGGGUCGCUUAACAAACCAUCGAUUUCGUUGCUUUUUUUUUUAAAGUGAGGUUUAUCGGAUUUGAGCCGUCUUUUUUUUUAUAUUUAAGUGGCUUAAAAUUGAUUUUUUUGGUACGAUCGAAGCGUAUUUUUAUGAUCAAUUUUUGGUUAAAGAAACGCACACGUACCGUUAUUUAUAUGAUGUAAUACGUUUGACUAUUGGAUUUAGUUCAUUCGUAUACGAUAUCUUUCAAUAUUUGACCUCAAAUCAGGUAAGAACACCCGCUGAACUUAAGCAUAUCAAUAAGCGGAGGA